GUACCUGUUUGGGCGACCGCUGGCCAGAAAUGGCUAGAGGAAAGUCCGAACACAGGCGUGUAGUAAUACAUGGCAGAAGGGUAGCGGGUAACGCCCGUCCACCGUAAGGUGCGAGGUGCGAGCAGAGACGCUUCAAUCGAAAGAAAGAAGCAUCCGUGUAAACGGAUGAGUCCUCUAGGCAACUAGAGGGGUGAAACGGCUAAAUCCUUACUUCUGUGCAAGGCCGUGCCGAGCAAUCGGAGCGCCGCUUGAGGGUGCUGGCAACAGCAUUCCCAGAUAGAUGGUCGCCGCCUUAGGAUUUCCUAGGGUACAGAAUUCGGCUUAUAGAACAGGUACAAAA
rnacentral:RNase_P_RNA from 1 species